rnacentral:rRNA from 1 species
UACGUAGGGGCAAGCGUUGUCCGGAUUUAUUGGGCGUAAAGCGCACGCAGGCGGUCUCUUAAGUUUCGAGUGACAGGUCAGGGCUUAACCCUGGCAGGCCUUGGAAAACUGGGGGACUUGAGGGCUUCAGAGGGACGCGGAAUUCCAGGUGGAGCGGUGAAAUGCGUAGAGAUCUGGAAGAACACCGAAGGCGAAGGCAGCUCGCUGGAACGGAACUGACGCUGAGGCGCGAAAGCGUGGGGAGCAAACAGG